UUCGGCCCAAUCCGGAACCCAGAUAACUGGAUUUCGAUUACUGGUUUCAGCCCGUAUAGGAAAACCAAGGCAUACCGAGUCUGGGUUACAGGUUUGUACCCGAGUUUUAUAAGGAAUAAAAAAAUUUAGAACUCGGGUUUAUUAUCCAAGGCACUCAAGUCUCUCUCUCUAAACCUCGGCACUCAAGUAUCUCUCUCUCUCUGUUGUUUUGGAUAUGUGUUCUUUUGCAGGUUUAGCCAAGCAAAGACUAGCUUCAUCGUUAGCCCAGUGAUUUACUUUCGAUGACUCUAAGAUGAAUAUGGUGGCAACAAAAUUAUUGGGUAGUGGUUGUUGGAUUUUUGGCUACUCUGGUUCUUGAAUUGUCAAUUUACGGGGCAUGGUUGAGUUGGAGGUCUAGACAAGGGAAUGUAUCAUAUGAACUUGUUGGUGCUGUUGCUGUAACUCAUGUGGUAAUUUUGUGUUUUGUAAUCUAACGUAUAAAUACCAAAUAAUGUAAUAUGUAGUGGAUUGCAUUGUGUUGUAUGCAUUUUACGAGAUGAAUAUUUUAUUUUA